rnacentral:lncRNA from 1 species
AUGGCACAGUGUCACCAAGCACUCCUAAGAACUCUGUCUGUGUCACCAAGCACUGCCCAGAGUCACCAGACACUUCACUGUGGUUUGGGGGUAACAAAAGAAAUAAAACGUGCAUUUCUGCAGCCAGGCAGUUUGCCAAGGGCAGAAUGUCCCCCCAGUUUUCAAAAUAAAAACAAAGAAAAUCACUGCCAUUUGUCUUUGUUCCCAGCGGGGGGAGCUCACGCUCUUCCCGAGGGGGAGAGCGAGAGCCCCAACUCCUUCCGGGAGACAGGGGUGACGUCACGCUACCGCGUCUUCAGAGGCCCGCUCACAGCGCGGCUGGAGCGGUGGCGCGCAUGCACAGUUCAUCCCUGGGUCUUGUCAACCAUUUCCCAGGGUUACAGACUACAGUUUGCAGUAAAACCACUGAGAUUCAGCGGAGUGUUGGCUUCGGUGGCCAGUGGCGACUCAGCGAAUGUGCUGAAAGAGGAAAUAUUCUCCCUGUUACACAAACAGGCGAUCAGAGCGGUUCCGAGCGAAGAAGCUCAGCAGGGCUUUUACUCCCGCUAUUUCCUCAUCCCGAAAAAGGACGGAACGUCGCUCCGUCCUAUUCUGGAUCUGCGUGUGUUAAACAAGCAUUUGAGAAAGUACACGUUCAGAAUGCUCACACACAAGACGCUUUGUCGCUCAAUUCACACAGGCGAUUGGUUUGUUACAAUCGACCUAUCAGACGCAUAUUUUCACAUCGCCAUUUAUCCUCCACACAGGAAAUAUCUCAGGUUUGCUUAUCAGAGCGUAGCGUACGAGUUUCAAACCAUCCCAUUCGGGCUAUCCUUAGCCCCAAGGGUGUUCAGCAAAUGUGUGGAAGCAGCGCUGUCUCCGUUAAGGAACAGCGGCAUCAGAAUAUUCUCUUACAUAGACGAUUAUCUAAUAUGCUCACGAUCGCGCGAGCAGGCGAUCAAAGACUCCGAGGUGGUAGUGAAUCACCUCACGGAGCUUGGGUUCACCAUCAACCUGGAAAAGAGCCACUUGGAACCCGCACAGUUUACAGAGUAUCUGGGGCUCAGAAUAGACUCCAUCUCUUAUCGUAUGGCACUUUCAGAGCGGAGGAUCGCAUCCUUCACUCACUGUCUUUCCCAUUCUCAGCUGGGGAAAGUCGUGCAGUUCCGACUCUGUCUCCGCCUCCUCGGCCUCAUGGCCUCGGUGAUAUCGGUGGUACAUUUGGGGCUGCUUAUGAUGAGAGAUUUUCAGCGGUGGGUCGCUUCUCUGCAGCUGUGCCCUCGCCGACAUCUCAGUCGUGGUGUAAAAAUAACGCAGCCGUGUAUCGCGGCUCUCCAGCCUUGGAGGAGCCCGACAGCUCUCGCUGCGGGGGUACCUCUCGGGGCAGUGUCUUCCAGGGUGACGCUGACCACAGAUGCAUCCCUGUCAGGCUGGGGUGCAACUAUGAUGGGCAGAGCAGUGAAUGGUGUUUGGUCACAGAGACUCGCUCUGAAUCACAUAAAUGUGCUGGAGCUCCGCGCGGUGCUCCUAGCCUUACGGCAUUUUCUGCCGUAUCUCCGGGGACAACAUGUUUUAGUGAAAACAGACAACUCCACUGUAGUUGCUUAUAUCAACCGCCAGGGCGGCACCUGUUCCCGGCAGCUACACAGGUUAGCCAGGGAAAUAAUUGUGUGGAGCAGCACUCGGCUCCUCUCCCUUCAGGCAACUCACGUGCCAGGAAUUCUGAACAGGGGGGCGGACCUCCUGUCCAGAGGAAAUCCACUGUUCGGAGAAUGGAGGCUUCAUCCACAGGUGGUGGAGCAGAUUUGGCAGAGAUAUGGCCGGGCUGCCGUAGAUCUCUUCGCCUCGCGAGAAAACACACAGUGCCCUCUGUUUUUCUCCCUGUCAGACGCAGAUGCGCCACUGGGCGUGGAUGCGCUGGCCCAUCCAUGGCCAAAAACUCUGCUGUAUGCUUUCCCUCCCCUCAGCCUGAUCUCCCCAACACUGAUCAGAGUGAGGGAUCAGGGGCUGUCACUGAUCUUCAGGGUUCGUACGGGUGCUUGA